rnacentral:misc_RNA from 1 species
AGCAAAGAGGUGCUUUUAAGCUUCCUACUCUCCUGAAGGUUGCAAUUGAUGUUUCUAAGGGAAUGAGUUAUCUGCACCAAAAUAACAUAAUUCAUCGUGAUCUGAAGACUGCCAAUCUUCUGAUGGAUGAACAUGGAGUUGUUAAGGUUGGUGACUUUGGGGUUGCUAGAGUGCAGACUCAAACUGGGGUGAUGACAGCUGAAACUGG